rnacentral:piRNA from 1 species
UGCUUGCUUCUUGCAUAAAAA